CGAGCGACAGCGACGGCGCCGGCCGGGGCCGCGGCGCGCGGAAGCCACUUUGCACGGUCAGCGCCGGGCACAAGUUUGUUCCGCGGCUCCCGGGGGCCUGGGCGCUGAGGGAGAAUCGCGCUGAGGGGGCCAGGAGGAGGGGGAGAGGGAGGCGCCGAAGGGCACAAGAGUGGGGAAAAGUGCGGAAAGAAGCAACAGCCGCUCCACCCGGGACCAGAAAAGUGGCCAGUGCGUCCCGGCCGCCCGCCCUGCGCCGGGGAUGCGGCGGCGUCGGCGCCGGCUAACGGUCCAGGGAGGCGGCAGGGGCGGCGGGAGCCGCUAGGCGGAGAGAGACCAGCCCGGACUCCCUUCCCUUCCCUUCCAGGGACGCCUGGUUUCCCCCCAAGCGAACCGGGAUGGGAAGUGACUUCAAUGAGAUUGAACUUCAGCUGGAUUGAAAGAGAGGCUAGAAGUUCCGCUUGCCAGCAGCCUCCUUAGUAGAGCGGAAUGAGUAAUACCCACACGGUGCUUGUCUCACUUCCCCAUCCGCACCCGGCCCUCACCUGCUGUCACCUCGGCCUCCCACACCCGGUCCGCGCUCCCCGCCCUCUUCCUCGCGUAGAACCGUGGGAUCCUAGGUGGCAGGACUCAGAGCUAAGGUAUCCACAGGCCAUGAAUUCCUUCCUAAAUGAGCGGUCAUCGCCGUGCAGGACCUUAAGGCAAGAAGCAUCGGCUGACAGAUGUGAUCUCUGAACCUGAUAGAUUGCUGAUUUUAUCUUAUUUUAUCCUUGACUUGGUACAAGUUUUGGGAUUUCUGAAAAGACCAUACAGAUAACCACAAAUAUCAAGAAAGUCGUCUUCAGUAUUAAGUAGAAUUUAGAUUUAGGUUUCCUUCCUGCUUCCCACCUCCUUCGAAUAAGGAAACGUCUUUGGGACCAACUUUAUGGAAUAAAUAAGCUGAGCUGUAUUUCAAGUAAUAUAGUUAUAAAUUAACAAUGUAGCAGUUAUUGAUAGAGAAAUUGAGAAAACUGAAACGUGACCGGAGUAUUGGAAAUAACGUAGUACAUCACCUAGCACAAUGACACAUAGUAGGUGCUCAAUAAAUUUAUGCUUAUAAUUUUUGUCACUUCUAUGGCAGGAUUUUUUUAUUAGGUUAAAAUUAUCUUUUAAACACCUUCCGGAAUUUUAGAAUAUUCAUUAAUAAUGUCUUCAAACCUUUCAACUGAAAUAAAUUUACAGCUGAAGUCUGAUGAUUUAAAGUUAGAAAGUUUAAUCUUGAAUAUAAAUGAACAUUUUCUCUCCCACAUUUUCUUGGGCAUUUUGAGAAGUAAAUGCGUUAUUUAUUGGUCCAUGAAAUGUGACUGUAAAUAUUCUUUGCUAUACAUUAUGUCUAUAUAUCUGCAUUCAUCCUCAAUGCCAAAACUAGAAUCAUUAGUCUUAAUGAUCAUUUUAAGUACAGGCAGUCCUCGCUUUCCUUGAUACCAUGUUAACCGAAACUUGUGUAUGUCAACACGGUGUCCUUGCUUUGCUUGGUUAAGUGUGAGUUCUUCCUCCCUUUUUUUAAGAGUUGUACAAUGUUUUUCAGUCGCCUACCGAAUCAGGUCAUAGACUAUGGAAUUGACCCCACCCCACCAACAUUUUUACAGCUACCCUGAUUUCUGACCAGAAAGGAAAAAAAAACUUUCCAGCUCUAUCACACAUUUUACCUACUCUUAAACUUAGGAGGUAUUACAAAUAGCAUUUUCUCAUGUUCUCUUUCUGGCCUGUACCUCCCUGCUAAGCUUCCUUCAGUGUUCAUCCUCACCUCAUAGAGAGAUGAAGUGAAGAGACAAACAGAAGUCAUUUUCUUCCUUACUUUAGUGGUUUCUGGUUUAGUUAGUUUGGGCCAAACUGUGGACAAGUACCUUUUCAGGUAACUUUUUUUUCUUAUUUCUAUGUCCUCAACACCUAGUGGAGUACGUAGCCAAUAGUAGAUGCUUAAUAAACAUUUCUUAAAUUAAUAUUGUUGACCUUUUCUGACCCUGUUCUUGACAGUAAGGUACAUAAUCUGCCUUCAUCCCUUUAGUCCUUAGGAACAGAUAAAGUCAUGGAUAUGAAAGUGAUCACUGUCAUUAAUAUCCACAUUAAAAUUGCUCUUGAUUUUAGUUUCUCCAUAAUCAUUUUCCCUAAACAAUGAACUCUGUUCACCUUUUUUUUUAAAAUAUGCACAGUGAAUAUUACUGGUAGCCCAAAUCUUCUAACAUAAAAUUUCCAUUUUGUAAAAGCUUCUGAUAAGCAUAUAUGUUAUGAAUUGAAUGUUUGAUUAUUAUACUUUAAUAUUCUUGAAAAUAUUGAUACCUGGACUGGAAAGAAAACAGACAAAAGUAAAUCUCAGAAUAAAUUACUGCUUUAAACAUGAUGCAUGUGUGACGGUUGCUUCUUAUCUCU
rnacentral:lncRNA from 1 species